rnacentral:rRNA from 1 species
GGGUGCGAUCAUAGCAGCACUAAUGCACCGGAUCCCAUCAGAACUCCGCAGCUAAGCGUGCUUGGGCGAGAGUAGUACUAGGAUGGGUGACCUCCUGGGAAGUCCUCGUGUUGCACCCC